GCCGGGCCGGCCCGGCGGUCCGGGCGGCGGGCCCGGCGGGCCCGUCCCGCUGACCACCGCGCCGAUCGUGCCGGGGGCCCCGCCC
rnacentral:tRNA from 1 species